GACGAACGCUGGCGGCGUGCUUAACACAUGCAAGUCGAACGGAAAGGCCCUGCUUUUGUGGGGUGCUCGAGUGGCGAACGGGUGAGUAACACGUGAGUAACCUGCCCUUGACUUUGGGAUAACUUCAGGAAACUGGGGCUAAUACCGGAUAGGAGCUCCUGCUGCAUGGUGGGGGUUGGAAAGUUUCGGCGGUUGGGGAUGGACUCGCGGCUUAUCAGCUUGUUGGUGGGGUAGUGGCUUACCAAGGCUUUGACGGGUAGCCGGCCUGAGAGGGUGACCGGCCACAUUGGAACGAGGAUACGGCCCAGACUCCUACGGGGGGCAGCGGUGGGAAUAUUGCACAAUGGGCGGAAGCCUGAUGCAGCAACGCCGCGUGCGGGAUGACGGCCUUCGGGCUGUAAACCGCUUUCGCCUGUGACGAAGCGUGAGUGACGGUAAUGGGUAAAGAAGCACCGGCUAACUACGUG
rnacentral:rRNA from 1 species